rnacentral:misc_RNA from 1 species
AAGAGAAAUUGUCUAGAAGAGAGGAAGUUGCCCCCAGAAGUCCAAAGCAAAGAUGAGGAAAAAAAAAAAAGCCCUUCAGACCAGUUAUACCUCCAUUUAGGGGUCUGUAGCCCAUUUUAGCAAAUUGUAACUUUGGGUUUUGGAAGUUGGUGGUGGACCCUCUUGGCUGACCACCACAAGCAAGGGAUAAAGAGUAGUAAAGUGUGAGGCUUUCGUUUUUUGUGCGGUUGAAAACAAAACAGCAGGUCACAGAAAGAGUACGCCUACAAAAGAACCCAGAGCGGAAGUAGCAUUACCAAUCUUUGAAGCCUCAUUUCCAAUCCGAUGGCAGCUCCCGUUAAGGUGUACGGACCUACAUUAUCAACUGCAGUUUCCAGAGUCUUAGCUUGUCUCAUUGAGAAAGAUGUGGAUUUUCAGCUCAUUCCCAUCAACAUGUCCAAAGGAGAACACAAGAAGCCUGAUUUCAUCAAGAUGCAGGUGCUCUCUAUGAAAAGCAUAUUAUUUUCCUUUCUUACCAUUCUUUUGAUUCUUGUCUCUCUAACUAACCAAUUCCCCAAUUUGAAUCUAAUAGCCCUUUGGCCAAGUACCAGCUUUCCAAGAUGAGAGCAUCUCCCUCUUCGGUAAAUACUUUCUUCUUGUUAAAUAUAAGCCAUCAAGUCUAAAUAUAAUAUUUGUCCUCAUCACCCCUUAGUCUGUGCUUUUGGGUAAAAUAUUAUUUCUCACAUGAAAUUUGAGUCAUCUUUACACUUCACCACCAAUUAGCUUCUUUUGAUUUGAAUUGAGGAAUGCAACGUAUAUGUGUUUUUGAUUGGUUCCACUUCCAGAGUCAAGAGCAAUAUGUCGCUACAUAUGUGACAAGUAUGCAGACAAAGGAAACAAAGAAUUAUAUGGGACAAACCCACUGGCAAAAGCAUCAAUAGAUCAGUGGCUAGAGGCUGAGGGGCAGAGCUUUAACCCACCAAGCGGAGCUUUGGUGUUUCAGCUUGCAUUUGCACCUAGAAUGAAGAUCCCGCAAGACGAAGGCCUAAUCAAGCAGAACCAGGAGAAGCUAGGAAAAGUGCUCGACGUUUACGAGAAGAGGCUUGGGGAGAGUCGUUUCUUGGCAGGAGAUGAAUUCUCUUUGGCUGAUCUCUCACACUUGCCUAACACCCAAUACUUGGUGGCUGGAACUGAUAGAGGAGAACUCUUCACUUCCAGAAAGAAUGUGGGGAGAUGGUGGAGUGAGAUUUCUAGCAGGGAAUCGUGGAAGAAGGUGGUCCAGAUGCAGAAAAGUGGUUGAAAUUGGUCUCUCUGCAUCAUUUUGAAAUUUGUCUUUCGCUUUAUGGGUCUCAGAAUUUUGUUUGAGCUUGAGUUUUUCUUCUUUUAGCUGAGCAUUUUCAAUCUUCAUCGUUGGCUGCUCCGCCUUGUCCACUUGACUGUGUUUUAAGUUUGUUCAAUAAAACUCAUAGCGUCUCUGGCCUCAAGAGACCUUCUGAUCGGUGAUGAACUUCUAACAAAUCCAGGAAAAUAAAUUCCCUUUUUUUUUUUGUCUGAAAA